GGAAGCAGCAUUGGAUUAUCUCUGGACCCAAAUUUGUGGCAUAGAAAUAUCACAAGUGGAAAAUCUACAUCUGGAAAAACAGAGACUGAGUUUGUCCACAGUUUGGAAAGCUUCCAGAAAAUAAUGGCUACAGGAACUAUCAAGUGCUACCACAAUGCAAGAAAUGAUUGAUCUGGCUAAGAUCAUAUUACUGGCUUCCUCCUGGUCAAAGAAAUGCUGAGGUCAAUGGCCUUCUAGAUUCGGGAUAUUUUCUGAAAACAGUAGUUUGAUCCUUAAUGACUUUGAACAAGGGCAACCCAGCUGGGAGUGUUUGUCUACCCAGAAGGAAGAGCUGCUGAAGUCAGCAUUAUCAAGAUCAGGCCUUAGAUAAUUGGCCUGAAGGGCAUCAAAGAGGGACAGCUACUAAGAAGCUUUUCAGCAAAGACUCCAGUCUCAGAAACCACUGAAUGUAGAAAUGGUCAGCAGUGCUUCAGUGGGUUGACUUUUCUGCACUAUGACAUAGUGAACUCACACUCACAUGACUCAGGAAAUUUUGACAAAAAAAUUAUUGUCGAAUAUGUGUAUUAUUCAAACCAAGCUGGGAAUUUUCAGCACUAAAACUGCUUCAUUUCUAGAGUGUCAGUCAUCUGCAAUGUGAUUCAGCUGUGCUGUAAGACCUGUCUUUAAUCUUGCUCGAUUAAGCUGCAGCUGCCUCAGCAAAGUAGCUGCAACCACAGAAUGCAAGAGUCAGAACACGCUUGAGAAGCCAGAGUCAGUACUUGUAGAGAGAGGAGGAGCACAAAAUGGAGUUAUAUCAGCUGCACUGUAGGAAUAUAAAAAAGAAAAAUACCUAGGUAGUACAUUCCCAUCACAGGCACUGUCAAAAAAGUGUUUUCUAGAAUUAAAUGUAGGAGGACAUAGACAAAGAGGUAAGGGUUUUUGUUUUCCCAGCUGAAUACCUCUAAUAAGCUUAGUUAUUCCUCAUUCUAAUGCCAUUUCAUAUCUUUGAUAAGGGUCAUUGCUUUCUGUGGAUCUUUUUGAGAGGGAGACCAGACAUGCAUUUUCCAAGAUCCUCUUACAGUGCAAAUUUAGUACUGUGGCUCAGUGGUUUAUUUCAUUAUCUAUUCAUUUUCUAAUAAUGCAUAUUGUUUGGUUUGCUUUUGUGUCCAUUUUUGAUCAUUUGGCUGCCUAAUCUGAGGCUGAAGCAGCUGUGUUACUGUGGUGAUUUUGAUACACCUCUGCUAGCCUUCUCUGUUCUUGUACUAUUUUUAAAAUUUUUAUUAAUAGAGGAAACUGAGCAAGGAAACAGGUGUCUAAGUGCAUAUACUGAUGUUUUGGUUUUUUUAUAGCCUAACCUAUUUCAUUCACCUUUUUAACUAUGGUUUAAGCUUAACUAGUUGUAUGUACUAAUGGUGUGGAUCCCCAAAACACAGAGGAGCUCUCAGGUUCUUCACUGCUUGCACUUGGUCCUUCAUAGAAGCUGGGGAAAGGGUGAUGGCUCUUGUGUCUAUCUUUAAAGAUGCAGAGAAUGAAUAAAGUAAUACAUAUUUUUUCUGAAAAGAAAUAUAUGUGUGAGUAUUUGAAUUGUGAAAUUAAAGACAACUUUUAACAUCUAGCAAAAUACUUUCUAGCACUACAAAUUGCAAAUGAAGUGUAGUAUCAUUCUCUAUUUGCUAAAUGGAAAAGGUGAUACUAGCUUAUUGAAGUAACCUCAAUAUUGAAAGUCUUCAGAUAGCCUUUAAAUAGAACAAAGUGAGUCAGACUCAAACAAUUAUACUUGGAACAAAGAUAUUUGAUUACUCAACCAGAGACCUCUAGCUUUGAACUCAAUGCAGUAAUUUUGAGUCUGCACUUGCAGUGAUCUUUAUAAAUAUUACUUCAUAGUUUAGUCUUCCAAAACUCUUGUCAGGAAACAAUUAUAAAAGGCCAGCUUUAGGUUUGGUGUAAUUAAAUGAAAUGAGCGAAGCUACACCAUGAUGCAUUUGGCUCAAGAUUAUACUGCAUGUAUAUAAAUGAAAGUAUUAAGUGUGUAACUGGUUUUAAUUAUCUAACAAGAAUAAAAUUGUGUGUGGACAUUUCUAUAAACUCUUAAAGACUUAUGACUCCAUUAGAAACCCAGAAAGCAUCCACUGAUAUUGGGUAAGCAUUCCAGCUGGCACAACUUUCCCCUCCACCAUUCUCUACACUACAAAUUUCCACUCUGGGUGUUAUGAUAUGCAGGGGAGGUGCAAGUUUUUAUUUUGCAAUUGUAUUAAAGUUUUCCUCUUUUGUUACCAGUUUCCUUUAUGUCCCUAUACAAAUCCUUUCAGUACUGCAGAAUUUGAAAUCUGAUACAAGAUCAGAUUUCAGUGGUAGAUGAGUGCUUCCAAAGGAGAGAGAAUGCCAUCACUGUCAUAUCACACAUUAGCUACAGACAUAAUGAGCUUAGAACUUGCUUAGGAAAUUGGAAGAAUAAGAAAACUCUUGAGCUCUACAUUUCUGAAAUUCAUAGAUGAAAUGCUUAUCCAUUUAUUUUGCUAGGAGAAGGAGUGAAGGCAUAGUUUGGUGGUAUGUUCAUAGUUUACAUACUAGAGGACAUGCAGUGGUUAUGAUCAUUUUUGUAAUAAGAACAUAUAAAACCUACUUGAAAAUCCACAGGCAUGUUUGUUUACCUGUCACAAUGUAGAAUCUCCUGAUUGUCACUAAGCACUCCCUACUAGGCUGGGUGGGUGUGCCAAGGUGACUUCACAAAAAGACUUAAGAAUGCAUUCAGCCCGGAAGGUGUCAGCCCAUCUGCACAGCUUGCUGCUGACUCUCUCGGCAGGGUGACUAGUUUUUAUCCUCUUUUGAGGUGUCUUUUACCUCAGGCUAUUCAGGAUAGCUGAAAGACAAAUGACUGUUUCCAAGAGCAAAAAAAAAAAAAUAAAAAAAAUAAUGGGCAGACUUAACCACAGCUCCUAAGUUCCUCUGUGAAGCUGUGCCAAAAUGCAAAUUCG